AACAAAAGCUGGAUUAGCUGACAAUGUGCGUGGCUAGUUUACCGGCGCUAAUUAAAAUGGGGCGUCGGUCAGUGAUCGGGUAUAAAUACCAUACGUACCAAAAUCCCUAACCCUUUUUCUCCCUUAUCCCGACUCUCUCUCUCUCUCUCUCUCUCUCUCUCUCUCUCUCUCUCUAGAUGCAGCGAUAGCCAUCGCCAUCUCCACCUCUACUAUCCCUUUCUCAAUCGACCCUCUCUCUCUCUAUUUCCCCUUUUCCCUCUCUCAAUCGACCAUCUCUCUUCGUUUCCCCUUUCUCAAUCCACCUCUACUCCUCUAGGGUUUCUCUCUCUCUCUCUCUCUCUCUCUCUCUCUCUCUCUCUCUCUCUCUCUCUUUCUUAGGGGUUUUUAAUCUCUAUCUCUCUUUUAACAUGUCUAAGGAUGAGAUACAAGGAUCUCUGCAAUCUGAUGUAUGAUAUGGACAUCAAGGAAGCCUUAGCCACUUGCAUCUCAAGCAUUCAAUGGAUCUCUCCAUAAAGCACAAAUAUCUCCCCGAAGAUCUACAGGAAGCCGCAGCAUAUUCUCGAACCUGGCAGGGGCACUUGCAGAAUUUGCUGGGCUAUGCUUGCUCUGAGUACUGUGUGUAUAAAAUGAUUAAGUUAGUUACUAUUGAGCGAGGUAUGUGACUGUUAUCGUUGAUUUUUGCAGUCUUUGCAGAGUGUGGUUUUCAAGGAGGUAUGUUUUUGUAAAUUCCUCAUGGAUCCCUCUUAAAUCAAAAUUGUUCAACUAUUCUCCUGUAAAUCUAUUCCAAGAUAUCGGUCUUACAUUCCAGUUAGGUUGCACGCACAUUUCAUGUUUUUUGCAUGUUGUAAUUUUGUUAUUUGCAUUGGUUCAAGAAAUCAGGAAAUGAUGCAGCUGUCCUUGUUUUGCAUAGGGGUUUCGAAUAUAGGUCAUGGUUUUGAGCUUUUACAAAUGUAUUUGCCUUUUUUGUAAGAAAAUAGUUCAUCACUUAAUGCGCCUGUCUUUACAGUUAUCCAGCCAUUUUGGUGGCCAAUUACGGGUAUGGUCCCUGAUCAUUUGGUCUGUUCCAGGUUUUGAAAAACUUCAUUCAGUUUUCAAAGGGCACAGCAUCUUUUCAACAACGCUCGGAAAAACUUAAAAUAUUCACAACUGGGAGAACGCAAGAUUAUCGAAUUUUAUUUUAUUUUUCUUAGCAAGUAACAGACUGUGUAGAGAAUUUAAUAAUAUUUCUAGGGACAGCAUAACAUUACGAGGUAUAGCACAGAUAAUUAAAAGAGUGGUUUUUUAUUGAAAUGGAAUUUGAUUUCCAAUGUCUUAGCUCACAAUUGUUGCCUCUGUGCAGUUUUUCUUUGCGGUUUCAAGAGUUGGGAGUGGUGGAUCAACAAUUAACGUUGUUCUUUUCCUGUCUGAGAUCAUGGGCAUGUAUUUCGUAUCAUCAAUUCUAUUAAUAAGGAAGAGUUUAGCAACUGAGUACAGGUAUUCUGUCUGCCCAUUAUUGCUAGCAGAUGAAGUUUGUUCAUGGUUGUGCAAAAUCAUUUUUGCCAAAUUCCUUUCCGUGGUAUCAUGUGUGGAUCGUGCCUUGAUAUCACUUGUUUAUUUUCCAUGUUCUGAGAACAUAAAUUUGCUAGCAGAUUAAGUUUGUUUAUGAUUGACCAAAAUAAUUGUUUGCCAAAUUCCUUACAUUACUUGGUAUCAUAGGUGAAACCUUUUUGUUCCUUGAUAUCACUUGGGGCAUGUUUGGAUGGCUGGCAAUGGAAAGGGAAGGGGGAAAAUCAUUAUUUCCAAGAGCAAUAUUUUCCCAAAAAUUCCAAGAUUGGAUUUCUUAUUUGGAUGACAAGUGAAAAUCUUAUAUUUGUAAGACAACGGUCACAUCAUUUCAUUUGCUACUAUGGAAAGGCACACUAAUUGCUUGGAAUCCUCUCUUUUACCCAAACAUCCCAAAUUGUCACAUUGAUGGAAAACCUUCUCCAUUUCCUUUAUUUUCCCUUGGGUUCCAUGUAUCCAAAUAUUGCCUUAAUGGAAAAAUUCCCGUGGUCUCAAAACAUCAGAAAUUUGCUUUGGUGCUGCUUUGGGUUUAUGAAAAAAAAAAAAAAAAACUUAUCAUACCAAUAAACACAAACUUGAUCUGGCACAAUUUUGUAGCAAGAGAAGAAGGAAGAAGAAGAAGAAAGAAUA